GGGCUGCCCUACCCGGCCGGGGCUGAGGCUGCGGCUGGAGCUGCGGUGGGUGCUGCUGUCCUCGCCGGAGCCCGGCGCUGUCAUGCCCCCGCCGCGAGGCGGGCCGCUGAGUCCCGGAGCCGCUAUAUAAGCGCAGGCAAGGGGACAUUCGGAGGGGCUGAAGAUGAAGGUGCCCGCGCAUGGGCCCCCACUGAUUGCCAACCCCUCCCGAGCCCGCGCCCAGCGCGGAGCCCGCGGCCGCCCAGGACCCGCCUUCGCCGCAGUAGCAGCUGGAGCAGCGACAGAGGAGGCAGCUACGGCGGUGGCGGCGGCGCCCGUCGCCGGAGCGCGUAGAUCGGCGGCGGCAGCUCGGGGGCCGCCGCUGCCCCGGCUGCCAUGAGUUGUGCGGAGGUGAUGUAUCACCCCCAGCCGUAUGGAGCGCCCCAGUAUCUGCCCAACCCUGUGGCAGCUGCAACCUGCCCCACAGCCUACUACCACCCGGCGCCCCAACCUGGCCAGCAGAAGAAGUUAGCGGUAUACAGCAAGAUGCAGGACUCUCUGGAAGUCACCCUUCCCAGCAAACAAGAGGAGGAGGAGGAUGAGGAGGAGGAGGAGGAGGAGGAGGAGAAAGACCAGCCUGCCGAGAUGGAGUACCUUAACUCUCGCUGUGUCCUUUUCACUUAUUUCCAGGGAGACAUUGGGUCAGUAGUGGAUGAACACUUCUCAAGAGCUUUGGGCCAAGCCAGCACCCUCCAUCCAGAAUCUGCCAUUUCAAAAAGCAAGAUGGGGCUAACCCCACUAUGGCGAGACAGCUCAGCUCUCUCAAGCCAGCGGAAUAGUUUCCCGACUUCCUUUUGGACCAGCUCUUACCAGCCCCCACCUGCACCCUGCUUGGGGGGUGUUCAUCCUGACUUCCAGGUCACUGCACCCCCUGGCACCUUUACUGCGGCCGACCCCAGCCCCUGGCCAGGACACGGCCUGCAUCAGACUGGCCCAGCCCCUCCCCCGCCCGCAUCCGAGUCCUGGCACUAUCCUUUGGCAUCUCAGGUGAGCCCAUCCUACAGCCACAUGCAUGAUGUGUACAUGCGGCACCACCACCCCCACGCCCACAUGCACCACCGCCACCACCACCACCACCACCACCACCACCCUUCUGCUGGCUCUGCCCUGGAUCCGUCCUAUGGGCCCCUGCUGAUGCCAUCAGUGCGUGCAGCCAGGAUUCCUGCUCCCCAGUGUGACAUCACAAAGACAGACCCGACUACAGUCACCACUGCUACCUCAGCGUGGGCCGGAGCCUUUCAUGGAACCAUGGACUUAGUGCCAAGUGUGGGGUUUGAAACAGGAAAUAAAAGGCAAGAUGAAAAGUAGCUAGAGAACUAGAGCAGCAAAUGGAGAGGCAGUUUAUCUCCAUGAAAGAGAGAUGGACAUCAAGUUACCACUUGCUUUGCUGUUCAACCUGUCUACAGCAUCAAGACAAGAGCAAGGAAUCACCCUGGUACUGAAACACAGUAUUAGCAAGUCAGGUUGAAGUGUGAAUCCAUGGGCCCACUGGGAAAGAGGCUGCCAGGAUUUCCCAUUCUGCAGUGGGACACAAUAGACAUGGAAGAAGAAGAGGAAAUGUCAGCCAGCUAACUUUGGUUUGGAGCCUUUUCUUGAGAAAGCAGAGUGGGUCCUAGACAUUGAAGAAAAGCAUUUUUAUUUGUUUUUUUUUUUUGUCCCCCUCAUCUGAGCCUUUGUCAACUGUGCAAAUCUUUUUUUUUUUUUUUUUUGUCUCGCUUUUAUCAAUACAUGAUUUAAUUUUUGUUUCAUUCUGAUUUUUUUUCUCUUUCCUUUUUGAACCAACCAUCUUGUCAGGAAAAGAUGAACCAGACAUGAAAAUGCUCAUCCUUUCAGGAAUACAAUUUUGUAGCUCUGUGUGUAUCUAUUUUUGUAGAAUACAGAAAGUUUGAUUUAGCAUCGAUGGGCUAUUUUUGAGGGAUGUAUUUUUUUUAAUAUUGUAAAAAUUGGUAAGUUCUGUUUAAAGAACUUGCUCUCAGAGAAGCACUGGCAAAAAUGUUAAAAAUGCUUGUCUUUAAAAUGUCUGUGAUAUGCUCUGUGCUUUCUAGGUUACCUCAAGUGUUUGAUAGUUCCUCCUUUUUACAAAAGUAGCAGCAUAGCCAAGCCAAGAUAGUAUUGUUUUACAUUAAAUCUCAGCGAAGAUUUAAUUCCAUGUUAGCUCACUUAGCUUUGAGUUAUGUGUAUAGAUUGAAAAGGAAGUUUUUUAAUGACCAUACUAAAGAAAGGAUAUUUCAUUACUUUGAUUUGUCCCAAAGAGUACUUGGAGUUUGACUAAGAAGAAAGUUUGCAUCAACUUUCAGUCAGAAGGAGAGACUGCCUGGAGUAUAUGUCUUUUUAGCCCAUCCAACUUUGAUAAAUGGAACCAGUUUGUAUCCAACCACUGGAAAAAAAAAUGCAUUAACCCAUGCUACCUUUGAUUGCCAGUGACUUAGUUUCCUUGUUUCUAACUAUUCAAUCAUGGCAAUUUUUAAGGUCAUAUUUUAAGUGGAUGUUUUUGUUUGUUUGUUUGUUUUCGUUUUUAUUUUCUGAGAUAUUUUGAAUGGAAAAUAUUUGGGAGGGUACUAGACACAGCACAAGGCUUUAAUUCAGUGGCUAUUUCUGACAUUACUCAUCAUUAUAUAUUGAAAAAUAAUAUAUUGUAUAUGUGAUUUUAAACAUAGGUUUUUUUCAAGUCUUUUUUUGGUUGUUUAAAUCUGGUCUUAGUUGAUUGAACUCUUUUUAAGAAAAUGAUUUAGGGUAAAAUGAAAUUUAAAUUAGAACAUGCCACAAUUACUUAAAUUGGGGUAAUAAAUUAGCCAUUUAUUAUUUGAAAUUUAUUCAUGAAAACUCAGGAUUCAACUUGACGUGGCCCUCAGGACCCAAAUAAGGUGAAGUUGGAAUUAUCAUUAAGACCCUAUUGGGAAAAGAUUAGGGUUAUAAAAGUAGCAGUUAGUAAUAUUUUAAGGAUUUUUGAUUCAAGUUCAUUCUCUCAAAGCUGCUUCCAGAGAUGGAUCACAUUAAAGAGUUAGGGCUAUAUAGAAGUUUUAGUUUGGUAAAAGUUUCUCAAAUGUCCCCCAUCCUUGUCUUCACCAAUAUGAAAUACAGUGUUUAGUGAAGUACCACUUUCCAUUUUCAAUUGUGUAUAUCUUGUGUGUAAAGAUUUUAGCUAUAAGAACAACACAACCUUUGCUCAGCUAGGCAGGGUUCUUACAGAUAAUUUUAAAGUAGUUCCCUUAUCUCUGUUUUUUACAUUGGUUGUCUUUCCUGGUGCCUCCUGUGAGUUAUAAAUCUAUACACUCUCUUGUAUUCUUAUCACUCCAUAAAUUGCUUCUUCUUACCUAGACUCUCCUUAACACAAUAUGCAUAUUUUUACCUAAUGUGAGGUUGAAACUUAAGGAAUUUUCCACUUACUAAUGACACGAACUUUGAGUUCUAGGGAGUGGCUUGGUUAAAUUAUCUAUAUUUUGAUCUAUAAUUUGAUUUGUUAUGGUUGUAUGUACUUUGUCCAAUCUGUGGAGCAUGAAGUUGAUUGAAUCUAUAAAAUUGGUUUCCUCUUGUGUCCUCCUGAGUUUUCAAAGACAAGUAUUCAGCAGUUCCCAUGGGAUGACUCAUUGGGGAUUAUUUAUUUCCUUCCUCUUCCUUUGGAACCUAUUAACUUCCUUUGCAGUUUCUCUUAGAACAGUGUUGUACUCCAACUCAUUCAGAUCAUGCAAUUGGAUUUUCCCAAUUAAGGGAGAAGAAAAGUAUUAACUCUCUGCUCCGUUCCUUCUUCUCCACUGAAUUGAAUUCAAAAGGAGAGCAGACAAUUGGAUAGCUUCACCCUGAAUUUGUACUGUGUUCUGUGCCACUGUAGGAUGGUACAUUGUGCACAGUAGAAUGUAGGAUGAAACAUUCCUUGGCUCUGGGGCCCAAGAAAAGUUGGGGACCUGAAUUCUGCUGUAUCUAGGAAAGAUUUACAAGUGAGGUCUCUUGUUGAGAAAAGACAUCAUUGACAUAUUGCAAGGGUUAGAUCCUUGCAAGAUAAGGAAUAGAUCAAAGUCUAAAUAAAAAGAGAGUGCAUGUCUCUAUAAUUGCCUGGCAUCCCCUUGUUAUGAUCAUUGUACCUUUACCACCAGAAGUUAUAAAAGAGAAUGGGUUGUAAUUUAGCAUGAUAUUCUGACCUUAAGUUUAAAAUGCUAUCACUCUCUGGUUCUGCUUUCCUCACAUCAAAACGAUGCUGUUGAACUUAUGGGCUUCUAACCUGCUUUAAAGAGGCUACCAGCUUCCUCCCUAAAUCAUUUGAAACCACUUCACCUUUGACUAUUUUAAAAAUUAGACUUUAUUCAAGGUUUUGGAAGAUGUGAGCUAAACCAUAUAAAAUCAUCUCAUUUAUUUGACAUCUAAUCCAGGCUUUGGCCACUACACUAUCAUAAGUUAAUGAACAACUCAUGAGUUGGAUCUCAACAGGCUACUUUGUCCCUCAUCGUUUAUUUGAAAGAGCCUCUAAAUAUUUUAAAAAUCAAUGUUUCUUAAGAAGGUUAAUCAUCCCCUUCCUAACUUUCAUCUGUAAUUUUUCUUCUUUCUCUUUCUUCUUAAAAUUAUUUACAUUGUCAUUUAAGCAAAAAUGCCCAGGGUUGCUCCAAAUGUUGCAAAUAAGAACCAGUGGUUUGCAAAUAAUUGAGGAAUUAGUUCUUUGAACUUUAUAACAAACCUAAAAAAAAAAACAAAAAAAAACCAAAAAAAAAACAAAUUCUAGGCACUGGUGUAAAACAUGCCCUUGAGGAGCUCAUUAUUCAUUUUGCAAACCAUAUUUCCUAUUCCUAUUCUAAGACUUGCAGAAUAGGACUGGAUCUAUCUAGUUUUUGCAUUUGUUCUGUGGUUUAGUGUUACAUGUGUCAUUUAAAGUUGCAGUCAGAAACUAUAUUUUAAGAAACUAAAUUCUAUUUCUUACUGGGUGUCCCUCCCUUUGUUACACUGUAUUUGCCAAAUUAAGUCAAUGAGGCAUUAAGUGGUGGUAAAGGAAAGUAUACAUGCUGGAGUUUUGACUGGAGGAUGAAUAGAGAAGUAGAAUGAAUUAAUGGAAAAGAUCAUUGGUUUGUAUAUUAGGUCAUUCUCUGAAUUCUGCCUUGGCCACAGUUAGAUAUGUGUGAUUUGGGGUUUAUCUUAUGAAGAAAGUGAGAUAAUAAUACCUAACUGGCAGGCUGUGAAGUGUGGAAAUCAUAUCUAUAUGAUAUAUGUGUGUAUAUAUAUAUAUAUAUAUAUAUAUAUAUAUAUAUAUAUAUGAUCAAUCAUAUCUGUCUCAUUAUAGCUAUUUAAUAAAUGACAGGCACCACAAAUGUCUAUCAAUUUUCUAAGUAGGUCAUAAAACUGAGCUCCCAAAUGUCCCUUCUCUAUACUUUCCAUAUCUAUUUCUGCAGCAAUCCAAUAGAUAUAUGACUACUUUUUCAUGACAAAUUGUUGCAAGAGAAUCUUUGCCCACUACUAUUUGUUGAAGAUAAAAUGUAAAUUUCUUAAUUAUUUCUGUUACUUUAGUGUGUCAUUUAUGAAAGAAAAUAACCUUUUAGUGGUAUGUAGCCCCAACUGUGAGUUUUCUUACAUAUUCCAAAGUUUUAUUCAUCCAGGAUCCCAAAUCAAGGCAACAUCUUUAUUAAAUCACCAAAGUUUAUAUUUUUCAAUUACAUUUUGGGCUUCCUUAGCACCUGGAAUAAAAACAUCUCUUUUGAAGUUAUCCAUUUUUUUUUCUUUUACUUGCCUUGGAGGAAAAAUUGCAGAAUAUGGUGGAAAAAGAUCGUUUGCAUGAAAAGGGGAGGGGAAAGAAAACCCUUUACGAUCUCAGCAGAUUUACUCUGCUUGAGAAAAAAAGAAACAAUUUUAUUGGAAGCAGAUGUUGACACUGUGUCAGUUAUUGAAGAUGGAAAGAGUUCGCUUGAGCCAUUGCAGUUACAAAGGGGUAUUGAUGGCAGUUAGAAUCCCUGUGAUGGAUCACCUUCACAGCAGACAUAAGGACAGCAGAAAAGCAGAAACUGUAUGAGACCACUGAAAUCAGCCUGCUGAUUUUAACGUACAGGAUCCUAAGGAUCCAGUUUCAUUUUGUUUUGUUUUGUUUUUUCUUUCCUCCAGGAUGAAAGACACAUCUGUCAGAAAAUUUAAGGCUUCUUUGAGAAAUUUACUUUUAUUCUCUAAAAACAUGGCCUAAGAGCCCUUUAAAUCUCUUAUUUUUAAAGUACUAAAAGUAUUAUUAAAGUCAUUUUAGAAAAAUCAGGUUAUAGUUUUAUCUCAGUGAUGUAUGUUGAAAAUAAAUACAUAAACUACACAAAAAUGGAUGAUUGAAGAUUGGGGUAUGGGUGGGCCCUUCCAGGAAACCUUGGUCUCAAUAGCUUUAAUUACCUUAGUAACUUGGUCAUGGACAUUGGUCACAGAACAGACUUUCAGGCUUUUCUCUUUUAGUGCUCUCUUGGAAUUUACUCCUAUAUACUUUCCCAAAGUAUAGAAAUAGCCAUUAUUAUUAAAAUAUCUUGAUUUUCUUAUUUCCUUUAUUGUCCAUUAUGCUUUUUUAUUUGUUUGAAAAAUUUUUAUAGUUUCAAAUAAUUAAUCAAACUAAUGUUCAGUCAAAAUUGCAAAUUAACUUGAUCCAAUAAUAUGUAAAUGUCCUUUUAAAGGUCCAAGGCAUACUAUUGAAUUAAGUGUAAUUAUGUAAGUAAACAAUGAUACCUUCUAGAAAAGGGACAGUCACCAUCAAGUAGCUUCCUUUUUAACAAUUUCUGGACUACUAAAUUUUGACUUAAGAAUAACUCUUUUAGAAUAUAAGAUUCUUUAGGGUUUUUUCUUUUUUUGGUGUAUGCAUAAGAUGUGAACUUUUCUAAUGAUAUCUCUUUAUACUAGUAGAGAUGUACAUUUUUUUUCUAUGCUGUGGCUAGGGCAAAAAUGAAUAAUUAUUUACACACAUGAUUUAAUUUCUUAGGAUAUUUACAAUCUUGGAUAUUAUAUAUGAUUUUAAAAUACUAUUCCAUUCAUUUUUCUGGAUGUACAAUAUAGGGAAGAGUUUUCAUGUGAAUUCUUUGUUCAUUUUAAAAUGCAUAUAUUGAAAGAGAAAACGUGGAUUAAUUUGUUUUUAUCAUAUACAUCUAGGUAAGGUGAAAUACUUUUAUAAAAAAAUAGUGUAGAAGACUAUAUUUGUCACUUGGUUAGGUAAACUGAAAAUAAUAAUAGAAAUAUUAUCUUACAACAUUGAAAUACAAUGAAAUUCCAGACUUGUGAGUUUUAUGAGCAAUUUUAUGCUAUCUUAAUUUUACAUUUCCAGAAAGACAAAUUAACUAAUCUUACCUAGUUGUCAGUCUUUAAUUCAUAAAACUUUUGGGUUUACAAGCUCAUUAUGAAAUCAUAAUUUUUGUUUUUCUUGGGAUUGUGGAAAGAGACAUUUUCAUAUUUCUAUUCACUCUUCAAAUGCAGGUCACAUAACUAUGUGUCAGUGAUAUAAGAUGAUGGAGGACUUUGUAGUAAAAACUGUCACCUUCAAUUUGUUCAAUAAAUAAUUUAAUGUGAA